rnacentral:rRNA from 1 species
UGGGGAAUAUUGCACAAUGGGCGCAAGCCUGAUGCAGCCAUGCCGCGUGUAUGAAGAAGGCCUUCGGGUUGUAAAGUACUUUCAGCGGGGAGGAAGGUGUUGAGGUUAAUAACCUCAGCAAUUGACGUUACCCGCAGAAGAAGCACCGGCUAACUCCGUGCCAGCAGCCGCGGUAAUACGGAGGGUGCAAGCGUUAAUCGGAAUUACUGGGCGUAAAGCGCACGCAGGCGGUUUGUCAAGUCGGAUGUGAAAUCCCCGGGCUCAACAUGGGAACUGCAUUCGAAACUGGCAGGCUAGAGUCUUGUAGAGGGGGGUAGAAUUCCAGGUGUAGCGGUGAAAUGCGUAGAGAUCUGGAGGAAUACCGGUGGCGAAGGCGGCCCCCUGGACAAAGACUGACGCUCAGGUGCGAAAGCGUGGGGAGCAAACA